rnacentral:rRNA from 1 species
UACGUAGGGCGCAAGCGUUGUCCUGAAUUAUUGGGCGUAAAGAGCUCGUAGGCGGCUUGUCACGUCGGGUGUGAAAGCCCGGGGCUUAACCCCGGGUCUGCAUUCGAUACGGGCAGGCUAGAGUGUGGUAGGGGAGAUCGGAAUUCCUGGUGUAGCGGUGAAAUGCGCAGAUAUCAGGAGGAACACCGGUGGCGAAGGCGGAUCUCUGGGCCAUUACUGACGCUGAGGAGCGAACGCGUGGGGAGCGAACAGG